GGGUGAAGCAUGACUAGCGGCGGGCCGGACAGGCGGCGAUGUUCAUUUUGUUUACCUAAGCUUAGGAAGAACACGCAUUUUAUUUGUUCCGCCGCGCAUUGCAGAAAUCGUAUUUUUGAAUUGUUUAAAUUCAAAGGUACCUACAGGUGUUUUUGACAUGGCUUCUACUUCAUCUGGCAAAAAGCGCACUUAUAAAGAAGCAUUUCUACAAUGGGGUUUCACAAGCAUCGUAGACAAAAAUAUAGAAAAGCCUCAGUGUGUUUUAUGUAAUAAAGUGCUUAAUCCAGAAAGCAUGAAACCGAGCAAAUUAAAAGAACAUUUUGCUAAAGUUCACAAGGAGUUCGCAGAUAAAAAUAUAGAUUUUUUUAAGAAAAAGGAGAGGAUUCUGAAGUCUUCCCGCAUGGAUUCUACAGGCAAUAUACAGAAAGCAAAUGAAUCAUGCCUUCAAGCUUCAUACAAAAUUGCUUAUCGCAUCGCACGUAAUAAAA